UGUGGGCAAGACCCACCAGCCAGACACCUGGGAAAGAAUUCUCUGUAGUAUCUCAGAGCCCUUCUGUGGUGGGGUGGUGCCUCUUAGAAGAAUGGCUGAACCAGGCCAGAGAGACUGCGCAGACCCGCAGCAGCCAAUUAGAGAAGGCUUGGGGAGAGCCAAUCAGGGCCAGCCUAGGCCCUAUAUAAAGGCUGCCUAGCAAAGAGCAGGGCAGUGUCUCCCUGGUGGUCAAGGGAGGAGGACUGGCUCCUGAGCUGAAAGAUAGCACCUUGGACAGAGCAGUGCUGGGGAAGGGCAGAAGGAGCUGGGGAGCUCUGGCCAAGUAAAACCCCAGGCUGCCGGCCGAGCUACCAAAGGCUGGGCAGACGGCGAGAGACUGCCGGGAUGCCACCGGCAGAGGGCGCUCUGCAGCGGACAGAGCUAAUUCCCAGACGUGCCAGCGGGAGGCGCCGUGGUGAGAUACUGGAUUGUAUUCAUACUUCAAAGCAAGUACCGAAGAAGUUGCAAGACAUCUAUAUGAACAGGAACCUCUACCAUUAUGUGAAAGCACAAGAGCCUUCCUCCCCAUCUUGAGGUGUUUAGAAUAUAUAAUGGCCAUUUUUGGUGGAAAAAGAUGACAGCUUUAAUACAGACACACAAGACAGAAAUAGCUGUAACACAGCUGCACCAGCCAUAAAAUAAAACUGGCUAUUGUAGAGAUUAUUAUUAUUUUUCUGCAAACACUGGUUGUUAGGAUAUAUUAAUAUUGUA